GCCUUCGUGGUGCAAUGGUCAGCACACUCGGCGUCUAUACUAGAGGUGCGAGGUUCGAGUCCCGGCGAGGGCU
rnacentral:tRNA from 1 species